AUUGUUUCUCAGCCUUUUGGCUAAGAUCCAGUGUGGUAUCUGUCCUUAUCAGUUUAAUAUCUGAUACAUCCUCUAUCUGAGGACAAUAUUAAAAAAAAUUAUGAAAGAAAAAAAUAUAUAUAACAUAAAAAUGGCUCCAAAAAGAGCUUAGAUCAUCCUGGCUAAAGGAGCAGAGGAA
rnacentral:snRNA from 1 species